rnacentral:snoRNA from 1 species
GGAUGAAAAUGUCUGAGGAAAUAUUGCACUCAGAAAAUAACAACACUUUCAUAGUGACCCAUGCCAGAGCAAACUGUGGUCCCGAACCAUUGCCUGGCCUCGAUCUGUGGGCACUGCAGGGGGUUGCACAGAG